UAUUGGACAAUGGGGGCAACCCUGAUCCAGCCAUGCCGCAUGUGUGAAGUAGGUCUUUGGAUUGUAAAGCACUUUAAGUUGGGAGGAAGGGCUUUAGGUUAAUACCCUGAAGUUUUGACGUUACCAACAGUAUAAGCACCGGCUAACUCUGUGCACGCCGCCGCUGUAAUACAGAGUGUGCAAGCGUUAAUCGGAAUUACUGGGCGUAAAGCGCGCGUAGGUGGUUCAGUAAGAUGGGUGUGAAAUCCCCGGGCUUAACCUGGGAACUGCUUUCAUAACUGCUGAGCUAGAGUACGGUAGAGGGUAGUGGAAUUUCCUGUGUAGCGGUGAAAUGCGUAGAUAUAGGAAGGAACACCAGUGGCGAAGGCGACUACCUGGACUGAUACUGACACUGAGGUGCGAAAGCGUGGGGAGCAAACA
rnacentral:rRNA from 1 species